UGUGUAGGCGGUUUGGUAAGUCUGGUGUGAAAUCUCCCGGCUCAACUGGGAGGGUGCGCCGGAAACUGCCGGACUCGAGUGCGGGAGAGGAGAGUGGAAUUCCUGGUGUAGCGGUGAAAUGCGUAGAUAUCAGGAGGAACACCGGCGGUGUAGGCGGCUCUCUGGACCGUAACUGACGCUGAAACACGAAAGCGUGGGUAGCAAACAGGAUUAGAUACCCUGGUAGUCCACGCCCUAAACGAUGCAUAUUUGGUGUGGGUCAUUCAGUUGAUCCGUGCCGGAGCUAACGCGUUAAAUAUGCCGCCUGGGGAGUACAGUCGCAAGGCUGAA
rnacentral:rRNA from 1 species